rnacentral:tRNA from 2 species
GCCGGGGUGGCGGAAUUGGCAGACGCACCAGCUUGAGGGGCUGGCGGGACCUAGUCUCGUGGGGGUUCAAAUCCCCCCCCCGGCA